GAAAAUUACCAUGUGACUAACUGUACUGCUGGUUCUAAUAAAGACUGCUAUGAUGCUAAUAUCAGCUGUGGGCUCUGUCUUUUUGAACCUCAUACUGAUUCUUGCAGUCGUGUUCUCAUCAACUUUAUUCCCACUGUGAAGUCAAAGGUCAGUCAUCAACUUCAAGUCAGAAACUAUCUAGGGAACAUGAUGGAGCGUUUAGUGGCCACAGUACCAGAUAUUUUCUAAAGGAGGUUUCAGUAGAGAACAAAGCAGGUCUGAAAGUAGACUUGGACCGCAGGUUGCCAGAAAGAACUUCAAAUUAAGUUUGAUCCGUGGUGUUCUGUCUGCCUGUUGAUUUAACAGGCAGUGGUUUGUGACUUUUGGGCUAUAUGUGAGUCAGCUUGAUUUGAAGUUUCAAAGCUCUUGGCAUAUACAAAAAACCCCAACGUAUUAGUAAAUACAUGGCUCAUUCUGCCUCUUCGAUUAGCAUAUUUUUUUCUAGACAGCUAUGUAGUCACGUUUUUUAUUUUAUUUUAUUUUAUUUGUUUCUUUGAUUUAAACUUGUUUUUCAUUUUUGUACUUGUCUGAACCGAAAGUCCCCCCUCUCUCUCUGUCACACACACACUCACACAAUCUUUUGUUACAAAAAGGGUCUAAUUACAAACAUCAGCUCUUAAUGCACUGCGUGGUGUGCCUGUGUGUGUGUGUGUUAGAGAGAGCUUGAGAUUGAGGAAGCUUGAGCACUACAGCAAAAUAUUUUUUAUUCUACAGUCUGCACAGAAUUCACCGACUAUAACUUUCAAGUGUGAAGUUUACCUAUUCAAAAGAACCAUCUCUGUCCACUGGAUGGUUGGUUAUCAAAGAUCUGGCUCCAGACUGCACCUCAUUAACACAAACUCUUUUCAAUCCCUUUUACACCACUCCUCCUCCUCAGAUGAAUCACUGAAUUUUGCUCUUCCUUUCUAAUUACCUGUCCACCAUUUAUUGGUCCGCUCUGCUCUUUUCCUUUUGUAUUUCCUCAUUCUUGCUCUUUCCCCCCCCUGUCCUUUCCAGCUAAAUUGCUUCCCAUUCUUAUCCUAGUCCUUCGUUAGCCUCCCUCAGAGUAUCUCUUUCCUCAUUUCAGAUCUUUGUCACUUUCUUUCCCAUCUUCUGCACCCUCCCCCACCCUGGUUUCCACACUCCUGCAAUCUACCACAGCUCCACCUAGCUACAAAUUCACCACUGGCAUCACCGUGUCACAUCUCAAACUAUUUUCUCCAUAGCCAUAGUUAGUCAUCCAAGAUCCUUGUAUGUUUUUAUCCCGUAAUUUGUUUUCUCUACCUGCCAUUAGUUUCCUGGUCUUUUAUAUACCAGUUUUGUGUCUUGUGCAACUAUUAUGAUUAUUAUUUGCAGUCCAAAGGGGAAAGACUACAAAUGCCUACAAUACGAC
ensembl:lncRNA